GGGUGAUAUUCCUGUUAGGGUUAAAAACUCGUAUAAUCCUAAAGCUCCUGGUACUCUCAUCGUUAAAACAAGAGAUAUGAGUAAGGCGGUACUUACAAGUAUUGUUCUUAAACGAAAUGUAACCAUGUUGGAUAUUGCGAGUACCCGUAUGCUUGGUCAAUUCGGCUUCCUUGCAAAGGUUUUCUCCAUCUUUGAAGACUUAGGGAUUUCUGUUGAUGUCGUUGCGACAAGUGAAGUUAGUAUUUCCUUAACAUUGGACCCAUCAAAACUUUGGAGCAGAGAACUAAUUCAACAGGAGCUAGAUAACGUUGUAGAAGAACUUGAGAAAAUUGCAGUUGUGAAGCUACUUCAAAACAGAUCAAUCAUCUCUCUUAUUGGCAACGUCCAGAGGUCCUCGUUGAUUUUGGAAAAGGCUUUCCAUGUUAUGCGUACCAAUGGUGUCAACGUUCAGAUGAUCUCUCAAGGUGCAUCCAAGGUUAAUAUCUCGUUGAUAGUAAAUGAUAGUGAAGCGGAACAAUGUGUUAGGGCUCUCCACCAUUCCUUCUUCGAGAGUGAUCUUUCUGAACUAGUCUGGGAAAGUCAAUCUGGAAAUGGCUAUGCUACUACUACUACUCCCUUGCCCACGUUGUCCAAUUAAUUUUCCUUCGUAUGAUUGUUCUUUCCAAUAAUAUUUUCUAGGAAAUGAAUGAAAUUUUGCUAGGUACUUUUUGGAGUGUGGGUGCAGUUUCGUCGUUGUAACAUUUAUCACUUGUAGCAAGAAGACACAUUUUAUGAUCUAUCUAAG
rnacentral:misc_RNA from 1 species